GGCAAUCGAAGAGUAUCCAUGUGCUCGCUACUUCCCAAACUGAAUCUCUUGUCAUCAACACACCACAAUAGCAACAACAGCACACAAUAUCAUAGUCCUGCUCAGGUCUGACAUUUUGUCAAAUACUUACAGCAUAUUAGUAUUUUCUUCGACUUCUUCUUCUUCUUCUUCUUUUCAGCGAGCUAACAUAACUUGCAAAGCCGAAGAUCCUUUACUAGCUCGUGGUGAUGCGAACCCAAAGCAACCUUCAACGCAUAAUCUGUAAUCUGGUUUAUAGACUAGAAAGCUA
rnacentral:lncRNA from 1 species